rnacentral:rRNA from 1 species
UCAUGGUUAAGUGGGAAACGAUGUGGGAAGGCCCAGACAGCCAGGAUGUUGGCUUAGAAGCAGCCAUCAUUUAAAGAAAGCGUAAUAGCUCACUGGUCGAGUCGGCCUGCGCGGAAGAUGUAACGGGGCUAAACCAUGCACCGAAGCUGCGGCAGCGACACUGUGUGUUGUUGGGUAGGGGAGCGUUCUGUAAGCCUGUGAAGGUGUCUGUGAGGAUGCUGGAGGUAUCAGAAGUGCGAAUGCUGACAUAAGUAACGAUAAAGCGGGUGAAAAGCCCGCUCGCCGGAAGACCAAGGGUUCCUGUCCAACGUUAAUCGGGGCAGGGUGAGUCGACCCCUAAGGCGAGGCCGAAAGGCGUAGUCGAUGGGAAACAGGUUAAUAUUCCUGUACUUGGUGUUACUGCGAAGGGGGGACGGAGAAGGCUAUGUUGGCCGGGCGACGGUUGUCCCGGUUUAAGCGUGUAGGCUGGUUUUCCAGGCAAAUCCGGAAAAUCAAGGCUGAGGCGUGAUGACGAGGCACUACGGUGCUGAAGCAACAAAUGCCCUGCUUCCAGGAAAAGCCUCUAAGCAUCAGGUAACAUCAAAUCGUACCCCAAACCGACACAGGUGGUCAGGUAGAGAAUACCAAGGCGCUUGAGAGAACUCGGGUGAAGGAACUAGGCAAAAUGGUGCCGUAACUUCGGGAGAAGGCACGCUGAUAUGUAGGUGAAGUCCCUCGCGGAUGGAGCUGAAAUCAGUCGAAGAUACCAGCUGGCUGCAACUGUUUAUUAAAAACACAGCACUGUGCAAACACGAAAGUGGACGUAUACGGUGUGACGCCUGCCCGGUGCCGGAAGGUUAAUUGAUGGGGUCAGCGCAAGCGAAGCUCUUGAUCGAAGCCCCGGUAAACGGCGGCCGUAACUAUAACGGUCCUAAGGUAGCGAAAUUCCUUGUCGGGUAAGUUCCGACCUGCACGAAUGGCGUAAUGAUGGCCAGGCUGUCUCCACCCGAGACUCAGUGAAAUUGAACUCGCUGUGAAGAUGCAGUGUACCCGCGGCAAGACGGAAAGACCCCGUGAACCUUUACUAUAGCUUGACACUGAACAUUGAGCCUUGAUGUGUAGGAUAGGUGGGAGGCUUUGAAGUGUGGACGCCAGUCUGCAUGGAGCCGACCUUGAAAUACCACCCUUUAAUGUUUGAUGUUCUAACGUGGACCCGUGAUCCGGGUUGCGGACAGUGUCUGGUGGGUAGUUUGACUGGGGCGGUCUCCUCCUAAAGAGUAACGGAGGAGCACGAAGGUUGGCUAAUCCUGGUCGGACAUCAGGAGGUUAGUGCAAUGGCAUAAGCCAGCUUGACUGCGAGCGUGACGGCGCGAGCAGGUGCGAAAGCAGGUCAUAGUGAUCCGGUGGUUCUGAAUGGAAGGGCCAUCGCUCAACGGAUAAAAGGUACUCCGGGGAUAACAGGCUGAUACCGCCCAAGAGUUCAUAUCGACGGCGGUGUUUGGCACCUCGAUGUCGGCUCAUCACAUCCUGGGGCUGAAGUAGGUCCCAAGGGUAUGGCUGUUCGCCAUUUAAAGUGGUACGCGAGCUGGGUUUAGAACGUCGUGAGACAGUUCGGUCCCUAUCUGCCGUGGGCGCUGGAGAACUGAGGGGGGCUGCUCCUAGUACGAGAGGACCGGAGUGGACGCAUCACUGGUGUUCGGGUUGUCAUGCCAAUGGCACUGCCCGGUAGCUAAAUGCGGAAGAGAUAAGUGCUGAAAGCAUCUAAGCACGAAACUUGCCCCGAGAUGAGUUCUCCCUGACCCUUUAAGGGUCCUGAAGGAACGUUGAAGACGACGACGUUGAUAGGCCGGGUGUGUAAGCGCAGCGAUGCGUUGAGCUAACCGGUACUAAUGAACCGUGAGGCUUAACCU